AGUCGUACGGCGCGCGCGCACGUUUAGUUCGACGCGUUUGCGUUAAACUUUGUCUAGACUUCUCAUCGAUUGGUUUUUAGAGUACCCGAAGUAUAUUCAAAAAAAUCACUUCCGUGCUUCAAUAUAGAGUAGUAGUAAUGUAUUAGUAGAAGAGGGCUGGCCGCGUGUCACACCUUAUAUCGUCCAUGUUUCUUCAUCAGUCUAACAUAAGUACGAUCGUUGAUUCUCACCUUUGCACACGCAAAUCAACCCACCCGCAAAAUCAUCGAACAACGGCAGCCAUCUUUGCUGGCUCCAAAACGGGCUGUGGUUUGUGACAGAGAAGACGGUAGUGGUUCUUGAUGCGGUUCACGCGACCAUCUCGUCGCCUAUGCACCCUACGAGAGAUCGGAAAUCAUUUUUAAGUGUGACUAAUCAGAAUAACUAAGGAACUCGUGUCACGAAUUCGAGCUACCGAAAUAUGGCAAUGGAGACGCCGAGGGAGCGUGAGAUUGCCGCGGAGGACAGUAUCAAGGUAGUCUGCAGAUUUCGACCUUUGAACGACUCCGAGGAGAAGGCUGGCUCGAAAUUCAUCGUAAAAUUCCCAUCCGGCGGCGAGGAUAACUGCAUCUCUAUAGGGGGGAAAGUAUAUCUUUUUGAUAAAGUAUUUAAGCCAAAUGCUACUCAAGAUAAAGUUUACAAUGAAGCAGCUAGAUCAAUUGUCACAGAUGUGUUGGCAGGCUACAAUGGCACUAUUUUUGCAUAUGGGCAAACAUCAUCAGGUAAAACGCACACUAUGGAAGGUGUUAUUGGAGACCCAAAUAAACAGGGUAUUAUUCCCAGAAUCGUUAAUGACAUUUUCAAUCAUAUUUAUGGCAUGGAAGAGAAUUUGGAAUUUCAUAUCAAAGUAUCAUACUUUGAAAUCUAUAUGGAUAAGAUCAGAGAUCUUCUUGAUGUAUCUAAGGUGAAUCUAAGCGUGCAUGAAGAUAAAAAUCGAGUACCAUUUGUAAAAGGUGCAACAGAACGCUUUGUAUCUAGUCCUGAAGAAGUGUUUGAAGUGAUAGAAGAGGGAAAAUCAAAUAGGCACAUUGCUGUAACUAACAUGAAUGAGCACAGCUCACGUUCUCAUUCCGUAUUCUUAAUAAAUGUGAAACAAGAAAACUUAGAAAACCAGAAGAAGCUAUCAGGAAAAUUAUAUCUUGUUGAUUUAGCUGGUUCUGAAAAGGUCUCAAAAACUGGAGCAGAAGGCACUGUAUUAGAUGAAGCAAAAAAUAUUAAUAAAUCCCUAUCAGCUCUUGGAAACGUAAUUUCAGCUUUAGCUGAUGGAAAUAAAACUCACAUUCCUUACCGUGACUCAAAGUUGACUAGAAUUUUGCAAGAAUCUCUUGGUGGCAAUGCUAGAACUACGAUUAUUAUUUGUUGUUCACCAGCUAGUUUCAAUGAAUCAGAAACAAAAUCGACUUUAGAUUUUGGUAAACGAGCUAAGACUAUAAAGAAUGUUGUAUGCGUUAAUGAGGAAUUAACGGCUGAAGAAUGGAAGCGUCGUUAUGAGAGGGAGAAAGAAAAGGCAGCUAGAUUGAAAGGAAAAGUUGAAAAAUUGGAGGCUGAAUUAUCUCGUUGGCGACAGGGUGAAACAGUUAAACUCGAAGAACAAUUUAAUUUGGUUGAAGCAUCAGAUGUUACAACUCCAAUUAAUAUGUCCAUUGAGGGUAAACUUGAUGAUGGUCCAAUGCCGGCCACUCCUGGUGGCAAUUUGAUGGCUGGAUCUUUAUCUAACGAAGAACGGCAAAAACUAGAAGAAGAACGUGAAAGACUUUACCAGCAAUUGGAUGAUAAGGAUGAAGAGAUUAAUCAACAAUCGCAAUAUGUUGAAAACUUGAAAGAACAAAUUCAUGAACAAGCAGAAUUAAUUGCGACUGCAAGGCGUGAAUACGAGAAACUACAACAGGAGGUGAACCGAACACAGCAAGAACACGAACGGGCUAAGGAAGAAGUUAAAGAAGUUUUACAAGCAUUGGAAGAGUUAGCAGUUAAUUAUGAUCAAAAAUGUCAAGAGUGUGAUAUUAAAAAGAAAGAAACAGAAACUUUGACAGAAGAACUUUUAGCAAAACAAACAACGCUGAACAGUACUGCUUCAGAAUUACAACAGUUGAGAGAUAUGUCUGCACAUCAAAGGAAACGUAUUGCAGAAAUGUUAGCAAACUUCUUGAAAGAUUUAGGUGAAAUUGGAGUUGCUAUUGGCGGUGACGAAAAUCUAAAGGUUGUACCUACAGAAAGCAAUGGUAAACUUGAAGAGGAAUUCACAGUGGCAAGGCUAUUCAUUAGCAAAAUGAAAUCAGAGGUGAAGAAUUUAGUACAACGAUGCCAAGGAUUAGAAAGUUCCCAAGUAGACUGUAACAAGAAAGUUGCCGAAUAUGAAAAAGAUCUGGCUGAAUGUCGUUUAUUAAUUUCUCAACAUGAAGCUCGUAUGCAAACAUUAACGGAAUCAAUGAAAGUAGCGGAAGCACGUAAACGUGCCUUGGAGGAAGAUGUUGAUGCUUUACGCGAAGAAUGUGCCAAGUUGAAGGCUGCAGAACAAGUACAAGCAGUUACAAAUAAAGAAAAAGCAGAAGAAAAGGAAGCAGCAACAAAAAUGAGAGUAGCACUAGAAGAACAAAUGGAUCAAUUGCGAGAUGCUCAUCAGAAACAAGUCGCAGCGCUUAGGGAUGAACUGUCUGAGAAGCAAGAAUUGAUCAGUGAACUUAAAGAUUUGAACCAGAAAUUCACAUUAGCUCAUCAGCAAAUGCAAGCCGAUUAUGAGCGAUUGAAACAAGAAGAAGCAAACAAAUCCGUUAAAUUGCAAGAAUUAAUUUUACUUAAUGAACGCCGUGAACAAGCUCGCAAAGAUCUUAAAGGUCUGGAGGAAACAGUAGCCAAAGAACUUCAAACACUGCACAAUCUACGCAAAUUAUUUGUUCAAGAUCUUCAGACUAGAAUAAAGAAAACUAUGAUCGCAGAAGAUAACGAAGACGAUGGUGGAUCACUUACACAGAAACAGAAGAUUUCCUUCCUUGAGAAUAAUCUAGAUCAGCUUACGAAAGUUCAUAAACAACUUGUGAGGGAUAACGCUGAUCUUCGAUGUGAAUUACCCAAACUUGAAAAAAGAUUGCGAGCUACGAUGGAGCGUGUAAAAGCUCUGGAAACAGCAUUGCGAGAUGCCAAAGAAGGUGCAAUGCGAGAUCGUAAACGUUAUCAAUAUGAGGUAGAUAGAAUCAAGGAAGCGGUUAGACAGAAGAAUCUGGCUCGUCGUGGACCUAGCGCGCAAAUUGCUAAGCCAAUUAGAGCUGGUCAACACCAUUUAACCAAUGUUAAUGCUAUUAGAACAGGAAAUCGUGGUUUGUUCAAUUUUGCAUAAAAGAAAUCGAUAAAAAAUAUUAUACAUUUUGGAAUAUAUUAUCUAAUAUAGUUAAAUAUAAAUCAUAUAAUUUCAUAUAAAGAAUGAAAGAUUACUUAAAAGAACAAACCUUACGAGAAUUUUGAUUUUAAUUCUCAAUUCUUUUUUAAUAAAUAUGGGUAACAGCGUACAGUGAUCGUGAGCAUAAUGCCAAACCCUUCACUUUUACAGAAAACGAAUGCAAGAACGCUUUCAUCAAUGAAAGCAAUAGAGUUCCAGAGACUCUAAUUUGUAGUGGAUACCCAUAAAUGUUACAACUAUAUAGUAAGGGUAAUAGACGUAAUAUAUCCGCAAGGAGCACCGCCAGUUCUUUUUAUUUGUCUCGAAACAAGCAUGUGCUUAUUAAUGCAAAUAAGUGCAUUAAGUAAAAUUAGUGCUGCAUGUCCUAUCGAUUUGUAAAUAGUUAAUUUUUAUAAAUUAUUUAACUUAAUAUCAUGCACGAUAAAUAAAGGUGAAUGUCUAUCAAAUAAUCAUGCAAAGGCCUCUUAUGAAGAAUGUUUCAAUAUUUAUUUCUAUCAAAAUUUUGUAUACUAUAUCCUAUAUCUUUAAAAAGACAAAUGAAUUCCAUUAUCAUAGAAUAGAAAAUAAAUUCCUAAAAGUGACACUAAUGCAAUUUGAUCGACUUGUCUACAGUAGUUUUAAUUAAUCUGCUAUCGACAUUGAAGUUUCCCGACAAAUGAGGCAGUACUAUUUAAGAUUUGGUAGGUAUCGCUGACAUGAAAUGCGAUUGGACAUGCGGCUUUGAAAAAAACUGUAGGAAUUAUCGUGGCUUAUAAGUAUUUAUAAUUGUAAGAAUUCUCUCCAUUGCUAUUAAUACACUCGUGACAACAGAUUUUUCGGACCAGAGAGCUCGCUUAACCGAGAGUGUUAAGUUUGUUGGCUAUUCUAAAUAUUAUUGAGGUCCAAGAACCAAUGGCUUUAUGAACAUUUUCGACAGAAGAAUUUCAUCGCUAUCCUCGUUCACAUUUAUUUUAUUAUAGUACAGUUUUCAUUGCAUGAAUCUUUAUAUACUCAUCUAAUUUAAAUUAAUUUAUUAUCGCUUAUUCUUGUUUAUAUCAGAGGCUUUUAUACUACAUUUAAAGUUCUGUAGACCAAUGAAAUUUGGCCUAUAGGGUAAAUCUUUUGUCUUAGAUAUACGUGUUAGUUUACGUUUCUUCAUGUUGAGCUUAUGCUCGGAAGUUACCUAGAUGUAUGUAUACUGUACGUCUAAUAGUGAGCUUUUGCACAGGUCUGCUUAAGUUCCUAAAACCUGUUGCAGGCCGCCGAAAAUUCGCUCACACAUGUAUCUCUUUAUUUUUCAGUGUAACAAUUGAACGUAACGUUAUACACAUGCAUUUUUUUAGAAAACUCUAUUCUUUAAUCAUAUUUGUUGAUAAUUAAUGCUUUUCAAUGUGUACUUUUUAUGUAUUUUUUUUGUAAUUGUUUUAUUUAUGGUUCUGAUAAAAAUGUACGAGCCACACGUACUUGAUGUAUUGUCCGGAGCAGGAGAAUUCUAAACAAUAUUAAUUUAAGAUAGGUUUCUGUAAACUGUGCGCGAUUAAAUAUUUGUUUGUGAUACGUUGGAAUCUUAUUACGCAUAGAUUCCUUAUGGUAUGUAGGCAAAAAAGAUUAACAUUUUCUUUAUGAAUCAUUGUCUCUCGUUGUUGUAGACGACAACGAAAGAAAUCAUGUUUCCAUGUGAGAUCAUUUUUGUCAUCUUCCGUUUUUUAACUUUUGUGAUAUCGAAGGAGAAAUUGUGUUUGCUAAUAUGCGAAGACAAGUGCGUGGUGCAUAAUGAGUGCAAUUAUUAUUGAAAUAUUUUUGUCAAAUGUAUGUAAAUAUAAUCGUACACUAUUACAUUUAUUUGGCAAAUUAACAAAACAAUUUUUGCAAAUUGCCCUACGCAUAAAAGGCUACAAGUAUAUAUAUUUAAUGCAAGAUACACUUAAUAUUACUGUUUCAAAGCCUUAACGAUUAUCGAAAUAUUGUCAUACGAUAAUGUAUUUUUCAUUCUACUGUUCAACUAAGGUAUUAAUGUGUUCGCUGAAUUUUUGAUCAUGAUUCAAUUUCUUUCUUAAGCUAGUGAAUCGUGAAAUAAAAUAUCAGCUUAGCCAACUCUUUGAUUGUGAGUUUCGGGCAUCGACCACUUUUUCCUUAUUAAAUAACAUUUAUUUUUAUAGAGUAUUGUAAAGGCAUUAUUGAUUUUUCAACAUGAAGGAAGAAAUUGGACGGUACUUAGUGAAUAAAUUUUCGUUAUGAUUAAAACGUGAUUAAACACAAUGAUGACUAAUCGAGUACUGUUACAUAAUAGCAUAAUGUAAAUUAUCCACGUAAUUUUCAAAUUGACAUACGUGUUUAUGUUCUUUUUUUACAUUGUAAUUCGUAUGAUUCGUUCGUAUAAUUAAAACGGGCAAUGGAGCUUGAAAAAAUUUAAUGAAUUUUAUUGUACAAAAAAAAAAAAAAAACCUCCAAAAUCCAUAUGCUUGUCGGAAAAAAUCCUUUUAAUCGGAAAUCUCCGAUGUAUGUAUGGGAGAAAAUAGAAAAAAUCAGAGUUAUUAUUAUUUUCAUAAUACAUCAAACAUGUUUAAAAUUAUAGUAAAGAAAAGAAGAGAAGUAGUUAAACUUAUAAUGAUACAUUCACGCUGGAAAACAAGGAUCACUGUUAAUGAGGAGGUCUAUAACCGCUACCGUUUUUUUGUAAACUGUACGAAGUAUGCGAAUGUGAAGGAAAUAAAUAAGUUGACAGAUGUAGAUAUUCGUUUCAUUGUUUUAGAAACAUACCGAAAAAUGUACAGAAAAAGUGCGACAAACUCAUGUAGUUGUAUCACCUGCUUUGCUACACUAUGCUUUACUCGAAAAAUUAUUAUAUGUUCCAUACGUGCGCUUAUUUAAUUAAGCUCUACAUCAUAACAAAAUUACCGGCGUUUUAAAAUACAAAAAAGAUCUAUAAUUGAUACUCGAUGGUGCAUAGCGAAACCUAUAAGUAUCGAAGUAGGUUUACUAUAUAAAAUAGAAUAAUAAAAAAGAAUAAUAAAUUCUUUUUUCAUUGCA